AGUGAAAUGUACAAAAAAAUAGUAACAUCGUAAAAUAAGAGGAAACUAAAUGAGAAAUGAAGAGACUAUAAAUCAGUUAAAAAAUAAGCAAU